rnacentral:lncRNA from 1 species
UCCAAAUUAAUAAACAAUUUCUACAUGCUAGCCUCACACCAAUAAUAUCUUUUUUUUCGUUUAAUUAUAACCUAUAUUUUUUUAUUCAUUUCCACCCAUCUCUAUUUUGCCAUCUAAGUACAUGACAUCCUGCUCUUCAUUUAUCUUUUUCUCAUGCGCUUUCUUAUUUCUUGGUCAGUCUUCACCUCAGUCUUAUCUCCAGGUGAAAUUAAAUAUAUACUCGUCACCUUAGCUUCACCC